AGAGUUUGAUCAUGGCUCAGGACGAACGCUGGCGGCGCGCCUAAUCCAUGCAAGUCGAGCGACGCAUUCCUUAGCCCGUAAGGGCGGGUUUGACGGAGCGGCGAACGGGUGCGUAACACGUGACCAAUCUGCCCCGAAGACCGGGAUAGCCCGGGGAAACCCGGAUUAAUACCGGAUGAUCUCACCACCACGCAUGUGGAGGUGAGCAAAGGCUCAGGCGCUUCGGGAUGAGGUCGCGGCCCAUCAGCUUGUUGGUGAGGUAACGGCUCACCAAGGCAAUUACGGGUAGCUGGUCUGAGAGGACGAUCAGCCACACUGGAACUGAGAUACGGUCCAGACUCCUACGGGAGGCAGCAGGAGGGAAUCUUGCGCAAUGGGCGAAAGCCUGACGCAGCGACGCCGCGUGGGGGAUGAAUGCCUUAGGGUUGUAAACCCCUUUCACGAGGGAAGAAACUGACGGUACCUCGAGAAGAAGCCCCGGCCAACUACGUGCCAGCAGCCGCGGUAAUACGUAGGGGGCGAGCGUUGUCCGGAUUUAUUGGGCGUAAAGGGCUCGUAGGCGGCUUGGCAAGUCGGCCGUGAAAACCCAGGGCUCAACUCUGGGACGCCGGUCGAUACUGCCAUGGCUAGGGUCCGGUAGAGGGGAAUGGAAUUCCCGGUGUA
rnacentral:rRNA from 1 species